CCAGAACUCAACCUUGAGUAACAAAAGGUUUAAUUAAUUGUUACAAUGGAACAGAUGGUGCCCUGUAGUAAACUGAGAUCAUUCAUUACUAAUUAAAGACUUGGCCAGCCAGUGAGCCAAGAGAACGACCAUCGAAAAGGAAAAUACUAGUUUGUCGUUUGUGUUUGAAAAUGAGGGCCGUAGCUAGGCAGAAGUACAUUAAAGGAAGAAUGCACACUCACUAUGUGAGAUUUACCAGCAUCUUGGCAAAUUAAAAACUACAUAUAUUCUUUAAAAAGAAAACCAACUGACACAAAUUUAUUUUCAAUGUUAUAUAAUGCUUAUCCCAGUAAUUGGUAAUAAUGCAUUUUAUUGUGUUUUGGUUUGUAAAAAUGCAAGAAUAAGGUUAAAAAGGUAACAAGCAAUAAUUUUGUUUUGAAUGCGUUUAAAAGGGACACUAUGAGACUGCACGAUCUAUACAUCGAAAAUGCUUCACUAAGCAAAAGUUGUUUUGGUGCCAAUAGUGUCCCUUUCAAACUAAAAGUAUAUUUUGAAUUGAAGAGUAUAAUACAGAACUGUGAAUCUGUCACACAAGAUAGAACUGCCUUAACAGAUUGGAUGGCAUUAAUAAUACACUUUCAAACUUUUUUUUAACUCUUUGACAUUCACAUUUUUUUUUUUAUUCACUACUUAUAUCUACAUUUUCUGAGUUAAAGUGCAAAUUAGGCAGAGAAACCAUUAUUGUUCUUUCUUUCACAUUCUAAUAAUACUGACGGUAAUACAGAAAGGCUGAUUGCGAUGUACCAACGUUUAUUAGUUUUUGUAACUUAGCAAUUUAUUUUUACUGUAUGAUUUUUAGUUUGUUGAUUAGUAAUAUUAAAAAUUCAUAAAAUUUAAAAUUUCAAUUUUCCACUCUUAAUGCAAAUCUAUUUAAAUUUUCCUUAAUUAAGCUUCCCCCCCCCCUUUCUUCAUCUAAAAUUACAUUACAAAUUUUGCAAUAGAGUUCCCAUGAGGACUAUUUUUGAAAUGCGAAAAAUCAAGAAAAAAAUAAAUAAAAGUCAACUUACAUUCUA